GUGAAUCAUCGAAUUUUUGAACGCAAAUUGCACUCUCUGGUAUUCCGGAGAGCAUGCCUGUUUGAGGGUCAGUAUAAUUAUAAACCGGUGUGGCGGCUGCCUUAUUUGGUGACGCACCGGAUUUGGGUCGUCCCGUCUUCUGUUAAGUGACCUAAAAUCUUGCAUGAUUUUUUUCGAACGUAUUGAAAUGAUUUUACGUACGUUUGCGAUAUAGAAUACUAGU
rnacentral:misc_RNA from 1 species